rnacentral:lncRNA from 1 species
GACACACUAAAAACUCUCUCUCUCUCUCUAUCUCUCUCCCUCUCCCCUCGUCUCCAUCACCAACUGUUUCACCGAUAAUUAUGUCCAUUUUUGAAACCUUUUCUGCGGGUUGUUUUUUUGCGUUCUUGUUUUCACUAAAAUCAUUUUAGUGAACUCAUUUAUUGCCGAAAUUGUUGACUUGCUACUGGGCAUGUAAGUAGAUAAUGAUGCUACUUCAUAAACCCUUUUUGGUAUCGUCUCUGUUAUUGUGAAUUCUAGAUAUUGUAAAGUGAAUUUUUAUAUUUCACAGCUAGUUCAUAUGAAAUUAUUCUUCUGUUGAGUGUCUUUAUCUUCAUUGUUGAUUUUGUAUUUGAUAUCAAUAGCUUCUUGGGGAUUUCUUAGUCUGUUCAUUGAAGGUUUAGAUUGGUUUUUUGUAGUUGGUUUAUUCUUCGAGCUUGAUUUUGGUUUAUGUUGAUAUUUGUAUAGGAGAUUUCUUAGUCCGAAAAGUACAAAAAAUGCACAGCAAUAUUGAAAAUGGUAUUUUCUUGAAUUUUAUGAGUUAUGGGUUUGGAUUUUUUUUUUCCUCCCAGCAUAAUUUUUAUUUUUUUUUAUUUUUUAUGAAUUUUUGUGUUUAGGAAAGCUAUUCUCAUUUGCAUAGUAGAUGUUUGAAUGUUUGAUGCUGUGAUCUUCGCUCNN